GUAUAUGUCUGCUCAUCUGGCAAUCUUAGGACAUCACUGGAUGGUUUUGUUUAAAAAGAUUACAGAGUUAACACACACUUCCAGCAUGAAGACCAGCCAGUUGCCUCACCUGUCCUGACAUUGUUAAAGUACUUUGUGACAGUGAAAAGACAUGGCUUUAAAUUACUGCAUCAGAGAUCAAUCCAGGUUAUAAAUCUGAGGAAAACAAUAAAGCAUCACUUCGAGCUACUUAUAUCACUGCCUUAAUAAGUUGUCUGCAUGUGUAACUAACAAAGGACAGUGACCAGUUGUACCUAUGAUAUCAGAGGGCAUCCUGAAAAACACUCAUCACUAAGAAUAGAAAACUUCAAAUGACUUUUGUAUCAAUCCUUUUGAAUUUCAUCUGGCUUGGAAUUUCAGUAGCCUUUAGCAUCCUUCAAGCAUUUCAUGAAGUACAUGUACCAAUUUGCAGGUAUAAAAUGUUUGAAACAGAUUGCUUGUCCCAAAUAAAAAAAAGUAAAUUCUCUGCCAAUUAAUAGUGUCAUAAGCAGUUGAUUGAUAUCACAGUUCCACUGGCAUAGUAUUUGUAGUUGAAUGGUGCCAUUUUUAAGAAAACUUUUCACAAAAACCUGGAAAACAUCAGAUGGAAAGGAGCAUCUACAAGAAAAACAGUGAACACUUUCUUGAAUAUUAACAAUGAUAUGUCAUGUCCAUUUACAUCCUUUAUAUAAACUAAUUAACCAAAUCAUAGAGAAUUAUGUACAAAUUUGUCCUUUUGUGUAUUCAUAGUGUAUUAAAUUGAUUUUACUAAUUUAUAAAUAUUUAUGUUUUUCACAGUCAUUAACAUUUACAAAUAGAAGUACAUAUAACAUGAAAAUAUUACAUGUUUAGUAGGAUAACGUGAAAUUGUUAUACCACAAAAACCAUCGCUGACCUCGCCUCGGUCAGCAAUGGUUUUUAAGGGGUAAGAAUUUCACAUCACCCAAAAUAAACAGGUAAUAUUUUUCUUGUUAUAGAAUGCAUUUUAAAGAAAACAACAAGGUGAAACGAACGUGCAAACAUUCUGCACAGUUAACAUUUUUUAUUACUAUAUAUACUGUUACCCGUAGUCAUGCAUUUUCAACCAUUGGGAUGUAAUGUCUGGCAUGCAGUAUGGUAAUACCGGUAGUACUUGUUAACAAAUGUUUUUUAAACCAAUCAAAUUUGACUAUUUAACAUGAAAGUGUAUAACAAAUUUAUCUAGCAUAAUGGUGUUGUAAGUAACCAUGGAAUGUGAGCUUGUGUGAACUUGAUCCUGAAUUAUUAAGUUUUGAAUAUUGUAAUAAAGAAUUGUGCAGCCUAAA